rnacentral:rRNA from 1 species
UACGUAGGGGGCAAGCGUUAUCCGGAUUUACUGGGUGUAAAGGGAGCGUAGACGGUGAUGCAAGUCAGAAGUGAAAGCCCGGGGCCCAACUCCGGGACUGCUUUUGAAACUGUUUUUCUUGAGUACUGGAGAGGCAGACGGAAUUCCUAGUGUAGCGGUGAAAUGCGUAGAUAUUAGGAGGAACACCAGUGGCGAAGGCGGUCUGCUGGACAGCAACUGACGCUGAGGCGCGAAAGCGUGGGGAGCAAACAGG